UUUGGUUCUUCCCAGAUAUGCUGCCUCAGUUUAUAGAUGGAGCCAAGUACACUUCCCUCUGUGGUAGGGACAGAUGGGUGGAAACUCCACCACCACCAUUUCAGAACUAGGCUUCCUGGCACUGGAUGGCAUGUGGCUAGUUUUGCAGGGCUCUUCUUACAAUGGGCCUAGGGUAUCGUUGUGUGAGGGGGAGAAUAUCUUAUCCACCAAGAAAGUCGAACCUCCCUCUUUUCUGGAGCACAGCAGAAGGUGUAUACAAACACAAAUUUUUGUUAUUGCAGACUAUUGUUAUUAUUGCCAAAACAGUCAACUCUUUCUCCAAGGCUUUGGCUCCCCUGGACUCUCCACAGAUGCUGCCCUAGGCCCUGUUCCCCCAGUACCCCCACUCUUAACAGCUUCAGUACACAGUGAGGACAGCCCUGUCAUGGACCUCUGGGGCUGGAUUCCGCUUGGCUGGUCAGCUCUUGACAGAAGCCCUGAGAUGUGUCAUUCUAGGAGUUGCCCUGGAGACUCCAGAUGUAACUGAAGGGCAUUGCCAGGCCUCUCAGAGGCUAUCUUUGCCCAGACUUCCCAAGCAAACACAGGGUGCUUCGCUGCAGUAUUCUCUGCCUCUGGGACCAGUUCCUUGCCCAGUUGGCAGAAGGCCUGUCUUGUCCUCCAACUUGCUAUUCUAGCUUGAUUAGCAGCAAAUCUCUGGCAUCAAUCUCAGCUCCGAAUGACCUAAUCAAUUUGUGUAAUAGGGAAAUGAUGAGUUCCCUGCACAUAGGCACAGGAUUUUUAGGGAACCAGCCCCGUGAUAAAUGCGGCUUUUGCCCACUAAAUCAAUAUUUAAGCUACUGACUUCCAGCUGGCUAUGCUCAGAGCCUUUACCUCAGCCCUGAAUUGCUGCAAUAGACUCCUAAGGACAAGGGCUUGCUUAGUGUCUCCCCGCUUAGGUCCAUCCUGCCUGCACCUGCCAGUCAUCGCUGUGAUCAUGCCCAUCUGAUAUGAUCAUGUGAUUGAAGUAUCUAAACCACAGUCUCCAAUGGCUCCCCUAAAGCUAUAAAAAUGUAGUCUUUAAACCCUUGAGGCUGCCAUUCAAAGACCUUGAUGAGGUGAUUCCUAACAAAUCAUUCCAGCCUCUCCUUCUACUAACUUUUACUUAUUCCCCAAGUACUCUAUAUCCAGCCCAAUCACCAGGCCUUUACUUGUGCUGUGGCCCCUACUACAGCACUAUCUUCUCUCUUCUCUCCAGCUCUUUACAAAAACCAGCUCAACUCAAGUUAGACAUUUUUUCCAGAAAGUUUUUCCUUUGUAGGAUGUUUUGAGCCAAUCACUUUGAUGCCAUCUUUUCAACUCCAUGAUUAUUGAAUCUGCUAUGCAUGCAAAAAUUUCAGAUAAGACACGCAAAUAGGUACGGCCUCUCUUUCUCUUUUCUGUCUCUCUCUGUGUGUCUUUCUGCCAUACACACACACACACACACACACACACACACACACACACAUGCACGCACAUAAACACAAUAUAGGAGUGUUAACCCAGAAAAUUAGGUAAGGUCAAAUGGAACCAGUUGGCAACUCCACUCCUAGGUAUAUACCCAAGAAGAUAAACAAAAAUGUACCUUCACAAAAACUUGUACAUGAAUAUUCAUAGCAGCACCAUUCAUAAUAGCCAAAAAGUAGAAAGUGAUCAAUCUGUAAGUCCAUUAAUUGAUUAAUAAUAAAUAAAAUGUAGUAUAUACAAUGACAUAUUUGGCAAUAAGAAGGAAUGAAGUACUAAUAUAUACUACAAUGUGCAUAAAUCUUGAAAACAUACUAAAUGAAAGAAGCCAGUCACAAAGGACCACAUACUGUAUGAUUCCGUUUGUAUAAAAUAUCCAGAAUAGACAAAUCUAUAAAGACAAAACACUUAGUGGUUGCUUAGGGGUGGGGGUUCAGGAGAAUGGUAGUGUCUGCUAAUGGGGAUGGGGUUUCUUUUGGAAGUGAUAAAAAUGUUCUAAAGUUGAUUGUGGUGAUGAUUGCACAGCUCUGUAAAUAUACUAAAAAGCAUUGAAUUGUACACUUUAAAUGAAUGAAGUGUAUGGUAUGUGAGUUACAUCUCAGUAAAGCUGUUAAAAAACAAAUACAAUGGACCAGGCAUGGUGGCUCAUGCCUCCAAUCCCAGCACUUUGGGAGGCUGAGGCGGGUGGAUCACGAGGUCAGGAGAUCGAGACCAUCCUGGCUAAUACAGUGAAACCCUGUCUCUACUAAAAAUACAAAAAAAUUAGCUGGACUUGGUGGCAGGCACCUGUAAUCCCAGCUACUCAGGAGACUGAGGCAGAGGAAUUGCUUGAACCUGGGAGUCAAAGGUUGCAGUGAGCCGAGAUCGCACCACUGCACCACUGUACUCCAGCCUGGGUGACGGAGAAAGACUCUGUCUC
rnacentral:lncRNA from 1 species